rnacentral:sRNA from 1 species
UCAAGUAAAGAAACAAACAAACAAACAAAAAACACACUUCACUCGCUACACAAGGAAGAGAGAUGGCGACGUCAGGAACAUAUGUGACGGAGGUUCCAUUGAAAGGAUCGGCUGAGAAACACUACAAGCGGUGGAGGAGUGAGAACCACCUCUUCCCCGACGCCAUCGGCCACCACAUCCAAGGUGUCACCAUCCACGACGGUGAAUGGGACUCCCAUGGAGCCAUCAAGAUUUGGAACUACACAUGCGGUAAAAAU